AAAGUACUCCCUCCAUUCCAAAUUACUCGUCGUAGAAAUGGAUGUAUCCAGAACUAAAAUACAUCUAGAUACAUCCAUACCUGCGACAAGUAAUUCGGAACGGAGGGAGUAGAUU
rnacentral:pre_miRNA from 1 species